UGGGCUGUGAGUUUCAAAUUCACUUCUACACAAAGGCACUCCUACAUAAGAUCCUAGAAAGCAUUUUCUAAUUGAUAACUCUGAAAUCCAGCCAGGCGUAUGAAUCUGAGAUCUUCAAAAUUAUCAUAAUUCAUAUCUGUGUGGAUUCACAUUUACUACUAGACAUUUUAUAUUCCUCCCAACCGACAAAAAGGUUUGAAAAUCCCGUGGUCGUCUUUCUGAUGCUCUGCAUCUCCUUGCUGAAGGUGACUUGUUUGAGAAGAACCUGGUCCAUCCCGGCGGCAGCGGGGCACUGUGGAGGUCAGGGCUGGAAGGGAGCAAUGGGAUCGUCCAGGAGCCAACGUAUCCUUAGGAUUUUCUUUGUAGGAGUGUGAAGACUGCUUCUGCUCAGCACGUCACAAAAAAACAAACAAGAGCUAUAGCUGUCUCUUCCAUCAAUCUCAGCUUAUUUUUGUCAGCCCUCUGCCUGUACAGCCACAACCCCACCACCGCUUGACAGCGGACGGGGGAGCCGAUGGUUUGGUGAAGGGGAGAUGGAUGGUGAUCAGAGAGACGGAUGGUCCUCUGUACUCUCCCUUCUCCUUUGUAAACAAUUUUUGCCUUGAGAGAGCAAGCGGGCAGGGGGAAAGUGAACUUUUUUUUUGUACUUUCCAAGGCUGCUUCACAUGGAAAAAGAGAA